GACGAACCGUGCGAACGUUGUUCGGAAUCACUGGGCUUAAAGGGCGCGUAGGCGGGCUCGCCAGUCAGGGGUGAAAUCCUCCAGCUCAACUGGAGCAGUGCCUUUGAUACUGCGAGUCUCGAGGGAGGUAGGGGCGUGCGGAACUUCCGGUGGAGCGGUGAAAUGCGUAGAUAUCGGAAGGAAUACCGGUGGCGAAGGCGGCAUCCUGGACCAUUACUGACGCUGAGGCGCGAAAGCCAGGGGAGCGAACGGG
rnacentral:rRNA from 1 species